AACGAACGCUGGCGGCAUGCCUAACACAUGCAAGUCGAACGAGACCUUCGGGUCUAGUGGCGCACGGGUGCGUAACGCGUGGGAAUCUACCCUUGGGUUCGGAAUAACAGUUAGAAAUGACUGCUAAUACCGGCUGAUGACGUAAGUCCAAAGAUUUAUCGCCCAAGGAUGAGCCCGCGUAAGAUUAGCUUGUUGGUGGGGUAAUGGCCUACCAAGGCGACGAUCUUUAGCUGGUCUGAGAGGAUGAUCAGCCACACUGGGACCGAGACACGGCCCAGACUCCUACGGGAGGCAGCAGUGGGGAAUAUUGGACAAUGGGCGAAAGCCUGAUCCAGCAAUGCCGCGUGAGUGAUGAAGGCCUUAGGGUUGUAAAGCUCUUUUACCAGGGAUGAUAAUGACAGUACCUGGAGAAUAAGCUCCGGCUAACUCCGUGCCAGCAGCCGCAGUAA
rnacentral:rRNA from 1 species